AUCCCAGAAGGCACUACGCGCAUCUCUGCGCCUGUGCGGAUUCGAGGUGUGGGCCGCGGGAGGUGGCUGAAGUAGUCCUGAAGUCGAGGCCCGUGCAGAGGUUUCGCCUGAGUGUUUAAAUAGCCACAGCGCUGGCCUGGUGACCCUGUGUCCUCCCAAGAGGACGACGUUCUUUUCCCAACGGAGUGUGGCAAACAGGCCAGGGAAGUUCAUCUGGAAAGGCCAGCAGUGGAAUCCAGUGGCGACCUGUACAUUCUGGGCUGCACAGCUCACUCUGAUGGAGCCUUAUCUACGGCACCAUUGACUGAACCUGGGGCAGCCACACCCAGGGUUUUGCCAGUCUCAGAAGGAUAAGGGCUUGCCCGGGAGUGCAGAAGCUGCAUCCACACUUGUGGAGAAAGCAACAUUCAGACAAAUUGUCAGCACUUCUUGUUUUGUGGGGCUGUUCCCAUGUAGCCAGCAGCCCUCAGGAGUCAGGAGGCAAGAACCCCUUGCUUACUGAAUCUAGCUCUCUCUGAAUUUUUUCUGCCAAACCUCUUUGCUGGAUAAAUUUGUGUGCUCUCCCUCAACAAAGUUUCUGCAUCUCUUAGCAAACAAA